GUUAUUGUUGUUGAUGCUUGUUGUUGUUGUUAUUUCUUAUUGUUGAAGAUGAUGCUUAUUAUUGUUGUUGAUGGUUAUGUAUUUGUUGUUGUUGAUGCUUAUUGUUGUUGUUGAUGCUUGUUAUUGUUGUUGUUGUUGUUGAUGAUGCUUAUUAUUGAAGAUGAUGCUUGUUAUUGUUAUUGAUGCUUAUGUAUUUAUUGUUGUUGAUUGUUGUUGAUGCUUGUUAUUGUUGAUUCUUAUUGUGAAUAUGAUGCUUGUUAUUGUUGUUGAUGCUUAUGUCUUGAU
rnacentral:lncRNA from 1 species